AGAGUUUGAUCCUGGCUCAGGACGAACGCUGGCGGCGUGCCUAACACAUGCAAGUCGAGCGAUGAAAUCCCUUCGGGGAUGGAUUAGCGGCGGACGGGUGAGUAACACGUGGGUAACCUACCUCAAAGAGGGGGAUAGCCUCCCGAAAGGGAGAUUAAUACCGCAUAACAUUAGUUUUUCGCAUGGAGAACUAAUUAAAGGAGUAAUCCGCUUUGAGAUGGACCCGCGGCGCAUUAGCUAGUUGGUGAGGUAAAGGCUCACCAAGGCGACGAUGCGUAGCCGACCUGAGAGGGUGAUCGGCCACAUUGGAACUGAGACACGGUCCAGACUCCUACGGGAGGCAGCAGUGGGGAAUAUUGCACAAUGGGCGAAAGCCUGAUGCAGCAACGCCGCGUGAGUGAUGAAGGCCUUCGGGUUGUAAAGCUCUGUCUUUGGGGACGAUAAUGACGGUACCCAAGGAGGAAGCCACGGCUAACUACGUGCCAGCAGCCGCGGUAAUACGUAGGUGGCAAGCGUUGUCCGGAUUUACUGGGCGUAAAGGAUGCGUAGGCGGAUAUUUAAGUGAGAUGUGAAAUUCCCGGGCUUAACUUGGGAGCUGCAUUUCAAACUGGAUAUCUAGAGUGUGGGAGAGGAGAAUGGAAUUCCUAGUGUAGCGGUGAAAUGCGUAGAGAUUAGGAAGAACACCAGUGGCGAAGGCGAUUCUCUGGACCAUAACUGACGCUGAGGCAUGAAAGCGUGGGUAGCAAACAGGAUUAGAUACCCUGGUAGUCCACGCCGUAAACGAUGAGUACUAGGUGUAGGGGGGUCCAACCUUCUGUGCCGCAGUUAACACAAUAAGUACUCCGCCUGGGAAGUACGAUCGCAAGAUUAAAACUCAAAGGAAUUGACGG
rnacentral:rRNA from 1 species